ACGCGGGGUCUGAGGUCUCCGUGAGUGUAGGUUUCGUCGUUGUGCUGAUGACAAGCAGUGCCCGAACUCUAGGCUGGGAAUUGUGCCAGGCUGCUGCUUUCGUGGCUGACCGGAAAGGGGCAGAAGGAUUGAAGUUUACGAAGUUUUUGAAUCAGGAGGCAAGGUCGCCUUGUGCCCCCAAAAGGGUGGAAAAAGGCCUGGCUAACUGGAGAAUCGCGUCCUUACGAUGGAGAUUCGCUCUGUCACCCAGGCUGGAGUGCAAUGGUGUGAUCUCGGUUCACUGCAACCUCUGCCUUCCGGGUUCAAGCAAUUCUCCUGCCUCAGCCUCCCGAGUAGCUGGGACUACAGGUAUCCUGUGUUUUCUAGUUGAACGCUUGUGAAAAUUCGCUUUAUCCUUGAAGUUCAGAAUUUUCACCAAGAUGUAUGAUGACCCUGUCCUCGAUGGAUCAGCCGGCACCACCCAGAUAGAUAAAUUGGCUCAUCUGAUCUUGUGGCCCCCAUCCAGGAAGUGACUCAGUGCAAGAAGACAGCUUCGACUCCGUAUGAUUUCAUCUCUGACCUGACCAAUCAGCACUCUCAGCUCACUGGCUUCCCCCCACCCACCAUUUUUUGUUGUUGUUGUUUGUUUGUUUUUGAGACCGAGUCUCGCCCUGUCGCCCAGGCUGGAGUGCAGUGUUGUGAUCUCUGCUCACAGCAAUCUGCGCCUCCCGGGUUCAAGUGAUUCUCUUCCCCUAGCCUCUCAAGUAGCUGGGAUUAUAGGUGCAUGCCUUCAUGCCUGGCUAAUUUUUGCAUUUUUAGCAGACACAGCAUUUCACCAUUUUGGUCAGGCUGGUCUCAAACUUCUGACCUCGUGAUCUACCCUCGUCGGCCUCCUGAAGUGCUGGGAUUACAGGCGUGAGCCACUGCGCCCAGCCAAUUCGUUCUUAAAAACUUAAUGCUUAGGGAGACUGAUUUGAGUAGUAAUAAAACUCUGGUCUCCCACACAGCUGGCUCUGUGUGAAUUACUCUUUCUCUAUGGCAAUUCCCGUCUUGAUAGAUUGACUCUGUCUAGGCAGAGGGCAAGAUGAACCCACUGGGCGGUUAUAAAAGUAUGGAGGUUUAUUGCAAAGAGAAAAUUACACAUUCAAGAAAGGGGAGUGUGAACAUACUCAAGAGUCACACAGCCCGAUCUGAAGUUUUUAUCUUUGUAGAUUUCUUUAACCAAGGAAUGGAAUAUUCAUAAAGAAUCCUGGAAAAAUGUAGAGAUUUCUCAGAACUGUGGUGCCAUUUUUUAACCAAAUAUGGGACUGUCAUGGCACUGGUGGGUGUGUGAUUUAGUAUGUUAAUAAGUGUAUAAUCAGGUCCUAGGUGAAACCUAGGUCAAAUCCAGUGCCAUGUUAUGUCCUGUCAGCCUUAGUGAGUUUGGCCCACACCCUGGUUUUUAGAGUCUUAUCAGCCUCUACCUUAUGCAAAUAUUUUAACAGUUUUUUUCCUUGUUACGUGAAACUGCUGCCUGGAAUUAUUAAAUUUUUCUGCAACCA
rnacentral:lncRNA from 1 species